rnacentral:rRNA from 1 species
UUCGGUUCCUAUCUAGCAUUUAUAGUGAAAAAUUAAAAGGUUUUCUCUCUAGUACGAGAGGAUCGAGAUUAAGCUGACCUCUGGUUUACCGGUUGUAUUGCCUAAUGCAUCGCCGGGUCGCUACGUCUGUAUGAAUAACUGCUGAAAGCAUCUAAGCGGGAAGUCAUCCUUUAAACUUAUUUUUACUACCGUAGAAGACUACUACGUUGAUAGGC